GACGAACGCUGGCGGCGUGCUUAACACAUGCAAGUCGAACGGGGCGAAGUGAUAGCUUGCUAUUAUGGAGCCUAGUGGCAAACGGGUGAGUAACGCGUAGGCAACCUGCCCUUCAGAUGGGGACAACACCUCGAAAGGGGUGCUAAUACCGAAUGACGUUCCUAGUCGCAUGACCUGGAAACCAAAGGCCGGGCAACCGGUCACUGAAGGAUGGGCCUGCGUCUGAUUAGAUGGUUGGCGGGUAACGGCCCACCAAGUCGACGAUCGGUAGCCGGACUGAGAGGUUGAACGGCCACAUUGGGACUGAGACACGGCCCAGACUCCUACGGGAGGCAGCAGUGAGGGAUAUUCGGCAAUGGGGGAAACCCUGACCGAGCAACGCCGCGUGAGGGAUGACGGUUUCGGAUUGUAAACCUCUGUCCUCUGUGAAGAUAAUGACGGUAGCAGAGGAGGAAGCUCCUGCUAACUACGUG
rnacentral:rRNA from 1 species